GAUACUGCCAACCCCCGAUGACCCCGCCUUACUCUCCGCCUCCUGUUAACAAAAACCUGCGCCGAUAGGCCAAGGGGAGAAGAUGGAAAGGUAGAGUUAGAAGGGGCGGAGCUGCAUGCAACCUAGAGGUCCGAGCCGACGCGUGGCGGUUGCCAGGUGUCUGUGAGCGAGACACUUGCUAGCAGGAGCAGAGAUUUGCGCCCCGCCACUGAAAUAUGCUUGACACAUGAGAACCUAUGCUCAAUGCUCAGCUCCACAAAACGAAAACUGCAACCCAGUCCCAGCCUUGUUCUAAGCACUAUGCCUGGCUCCUGGCUGUAUGGAAAGUCACCAUGGGAGAUAUCCUUGGAGGAACCCUGUAAAUAAAACAUUUGAGAAACUGCA